CCCCAGCGGGCUUGGCCCCGCGCUGGGAGACCAGAGACUCGAGACCCGGCUUGAGCCAGGAACAAGCCAUGCUGGUAGGAAAGAAGACCGCAUCUCCUCAGGCAGCUGGACCCCAUCUUGAGAGGAUACACCUGUGACCUGAGGCUGCCUGCCAAAACUACUAGCCGAGACCGGGGUCUGGAGGAGGAAGUGGUUCUGGAGCUGCUGGGGCUGUGGACGUUCCUCAGCAAGGCUUGGGGCAGCUUUGCCUCCUUAACUCCUUGACCUUGCUGAGGAAGAAGAGAUGACCAAUUCCCAGGAGCCUGUUACGUUCAAGGAUGUGGCCAUGGACUUCACCGAGGAGGAGUUGGGGCAGCUGGACCCCACACAAAGGGCCCUGUACAAAGAGGUGAUACUGGAGAUCUAUGGCAACCUGGUCUCAGUGGGUGAGGACAACUGCUCUUUGGAGAAUUUUUGUUCCCUUGGUUGUUGAAAGCUGUGAGCUCUUAAAGUGUUUAACUAGGAAAGAAACUUUAUGACUGUGCCGAGUGUGGCAAGAGCUUCAGUCAGAGCACAGACCUUCACAUCCACCAGAGAGUCCACAUGAGAGAGAAACCUUUCACGUGUGAUACAUGCAGUAAAGGCUUCAGUUAUAACACGAAUCUUCACGUGCAUCAGAGGGUCCACACAGGAGAGAAACCUUUUAAGUGCGAGGAGUGUGGCAAGGGCUUCCGUCAGAGCCCCAACCUUCGCAUCCACUGGAGAGUCCACACUGGAGCAAAACCGUACAAAUGUGAGAAGUGUUGUGAGAGCUUCAGACAGAACGUAGACCUCCAAGAGCAUCAGAGGGUCCACACAAGAGAAACCGUUUCAAUGUGAAACCCUUAAAGCACAAGCUUCUGUGCUCAUCAGAAAGUCCACACAGGAGAGAAACCUGUAGGUGUGAGGAGCGUGGGAAGGAUUUCGAUCACAGUGAAUCUUCACUUUCUCCAGAGAAUGAAACUGUAAAUGUGAUGGGUGUGUGAUAAGGGUUUCUUCAGUUAGAGCUUAGAUCUUCAAGUUUAUCUAAGAAUUAAUACAGGAGAAAACCCAUUUAUAUGUGCUAAGUGUAGUAAGGGCUUUGGAAAGAGCGCUAACCUUGAGUUCCAUAAGUCCCCACAGGAGAGCAAUGUUACAAAUGUGCAAGUGUGGUAAAGGGUUUCUUUGGAACACAGAGCUUCUCUGCAGAGCAUCUACGCAGGGGAGAAACCAUUGAUUUCAGUGUCUGUGGUUGGGGCUUCUGUUACAGCACAAACCUUCAUGCACAUCAGAGUCCACGCGGGGUAGAGACCCUGUGCGCGUGAGAAGCGAGUCAGGCCUUCACCUCCAUCUGACUCCACGUGGGAGAAAACCCUGCAGGUGUAGGUGUGUGCAUAUCUCCCCCUUCCCCAGAGAGCCUGUUUCUACCAUGAUUCUGGCAGCUCCAAGAGAGGGCAGCUGCGUGUGCUUUGCUCGCCAUUGUGUCCCCAGCUCCUGGCACAGUGCCUGGCAGGAGUAGUCACCUAGUAAAUAUUUGUUGAAUGAGAAUCCAUGUGGGAGAGAACCCCUAUUUGUGUGAUAGUGGGGUAAGGACUUCAAGGUCAACAUGUUGAAGCCUUUUUAGAAAGUGUGUUCACAGUCAGAUCAUGGGUUUUGUCAUGAGUUAAUCCCUGCAGGAGAGAAAUCCUGUGAACCUGAUGAUUAUACUAAUGGACUUAGAGAUAAAUGAUCAAAUUAUUAAAUCGGUGCAGUAAAUUUAAAAAUACAUGUCUUCAGCAUAAGAAUCCACACCCCCAAAACUAUAUCAGCUAGGAAAAUACUUUCGUCAAAACUCAUACACUAGAAUGUGUAUCUAUUCAGGAAAAAAAAAUCCUAUGUGUACCCUAAUGAAGUUAUGUGUCAGGCUCUGGACUGACCACCUCCACAUAAGGUGGACUCCGCCAGUAUCUGGUAGCAGUAGCUCUUCUUUUGUUUUAUAUUUCAUCUCAAAGAGGUUUAUGUUAGACAUAACCAAUGAGUUAUCCAGGGCCAAAGAUUAACAUGGUCUUCCUUUUGGGAGAGACGCCCCUUACCUGGAAAGUGCCCUUCUAGACUGGAAGCCUCCUGGCCCUGAUUGAGUGUCUCCCUGCCCAUCAUGUCAUCAGGCUGCUGGGAGCUUCGCACCAUGGAUUAUAGAAAUCCCCAGGUGAGGCAUCUUCAGGGUAAGUGUCUAUAGAAGAGAUAGCUAAAAAAAAGGGGGCUGGGUCAGGGUUUACAGAGGGGAGUUAGAGGAGAGGAAAGUAAGUCUGAAAGGGUAGGGAAUGGUUAGAGGGAAAAGGAAAAGAACAGUGCCUGGGAGGUAGUUGGGGGGGUUGAUGGGGGUGGGAAGCCCCAAGGCUUCUCCUAAGUCUCUAGCAAGUGUCUCGACCUCCAGUACAGGGCUCUCCUUGGAGAUCUAUGUUGACCAGAGUGUGGUCUGUAGUGGGUAGAGAUGGACCCCAGUGGCAUCAGGGCCAAUUGGGACCAGAGGUGGAAGAGCUGCUGUGAGGGGCCUUGGAAGGCAACUCUAUGCCCCGUCAUUUCCCCACGUGGCCCAAGUCAGGUGGGACCAUUAUUCCUCCAAUAGAAGGAAGGAUCAUAUAUGCAGGCUAUAAUAAGCUUGACCCCCUUCAGGAGGCAUAAAUUAACUAGAGAACAGCCUGGGGGUCUGGCAAUGAAAAGGGAAGACCUGGACCAGUAGAGGUUAUGAAAAGGUCAGUGACCCAGUGUCAUCUCUAAAUCUGGGUAGGGAACAGAGAAAGUUGGUCAACAUUUCCACUGAGUCCUUCACCUAAGAGCAAUGUGUUUUUUACUUAAUUUCUUUGUGCUUCAAUUUCUCCAUCUGUAAAAGAGAGAUGAUAGUAUUAUUUACUUCAUGGGAUUGUUAUUAGGAUCAAAUGAAUUAAUAUUUGUAGAAUGAGUAAAAUAGUGCCAGGCACAUACUAAGCCUUAUAAAAGUAUUUCUUAUGUAAGUAAAAUAAAUGAAUCCUUCAGUAGUUUUUCAGCAAGUAUGUCUGAGCGUAGUAAAUUCUUUAUUUCUCCCUUGUGAAUUAUAGCAUAGCUGGGUAUAGAAUUCUAAAUUGGCAUUUAAUUUUUCUCAAUAAUUCCUUAACCUCUCGUGCUGCUAUUAAAAGUCUGUUAUUAGUCUAAUUAUUGUUUCUUUUGAGACAGCCUGACUUUUCUCUCUGGUUAGUUUUAAAAUUAGAAUUUGCAAAAUCCUGAAAAGCAGAAGCAUGUUCUGCCAUUUUACUAAAUGUAUAUAGGAGUGGGUUUACUUAUAUUUUCCCUAAUCAAGAUAGUAGCAUGUAAAAUAGCUUUUACAUGCUAUUUUCUCUUUUGUUAAUUUUUCAUUCUUUAUUAUAUCCUUCUACUUCUAUUAGGUGUAUCUUUUUUUUUUUUUCUAGCGUCUUGAGUUACAUGGUUAGAGUUUAUUUAUUUUUAGCCUUUCUUGUUUUCUAAUAAAUGCAUUUCAGUGCAUUUAUUAGAAAUUAAAUUUCCCUUGAAUACUUUGGCAGCAUCCCUCGCAGGAUGCAAUUUGGCAGUAUGUAUCAAAAGCCUUUAAAAUGUUUAUGCCAAUUGACUGAGAAAUUUUACAUCUAAGAAUCUGUGUUAAGGGAAUAAUCAAAUAAAUUAUGUGUAAAAGGUACACAUUACCAUGUGUUAUUUCUACAUUUUUUAAAAGAAGGAAAGGAUUACUUUACAAUCCAGAGGAUAUCAUAAUGUAUCAUAGUAUAUCUCUAUGAUGCAGUAUUCUCCAACAAGAAAAGUGAUGUUUUUGAAUCAUUUUUAAUGACUUAGGAAAAUUUGCAUAAUAUAGCAGAUAUAAAGACACAUACAUAGAGGAAAAAACUGGAAAGAAAUAUACUAAUAUAUUAAUAGUGUCAAUGGAUGAUUUUUAUUUUCUAUUUUAUGUUUUUCAGGAUUUUGCAAGCAGUCUCUAAUGCUUCCCAAUCCCUACUGACAACAGUAUUAACUCUUCUAAUUACAAAAUGAUACAUGCCUAUUGUAAAAUAUGAAAACAUUAUGAAACAAAAGUAAGUGUAACUGGUUUAAUCAUGGAGUGUCAACUCAGUGGGGUAUAUAAGAUCAUGAAAUGGUUCUUUUUUCCCCCCAGGCUCUGCCUUCAUCCAUGUUCUGUUGAAUCCUCAUGAAUGAAUGAAUGAAUGAAUGAGUGAGUACUGAGUGGGAAAGAGACAUUGAGGGAGGGCUUUAGGAAAGAGGAAGGCUUUCCCUCACCAAUUCCCUGAAGAAGAAUACAAACUGGAUAAAAGAUUACAACUGGUGAAAAUAUUUCCAAUCCAUAUCACAGACAAAGAGAUUCAUCUGCCUAUUUAUCAAGAGCUCUUAGAAAUCAAGAAGAAAAAGCACAGGGACUUCCCUGGUGGUGCAGUGGUUAAGAAUCCGCCUGCCAAUGCAGGGGACACGGGUUUGAGCCCUGGUCCAGGAAGAUCCCACAUGCUGCAGAGCAACUAAACCCGUGCGCCACAACUACUGAUCCUGCACUCUAGAGCCUGCGGGCCACAACUACUAAAGCCCAUGUACCUAGAGCCCGUGCUCCACCACAAGAGAAGCCACCGCAAUGAGAAGCCCGCGAACCUUAACGAAGAGUAGUCCCCACUCGCCACAACUAGAGAAAGCCCCCACGCAGCAACAAAGACCCAAGGCAGCCAAAAUUUAAUUAAUUAAUUAAGAAGAAAAAGCACACAAAAAAAUGUGAAGAGACUGUUCAGACAUAAUACAAAUGGCCCUUAAAUGUAUGGAAGGAUGACAGACUUUUCUCAUAAUAUGAGAAAUGCACAUCAAAACCAUGCUGAGAUACCAUUUCUCACCUAUGGGAUUAGCAAAAAAUUGAAAAUUAAAAAAAAAACAACUGUUGUUAAUGAGGCAUACAGAAGUAGGCAUUUUCAUACAUUGCCGUGGGGCUUGCAAAAUGGAACAACUCCUAUGGAGAAGAAUUUGACAAUAUCUACCAACACUGUAGAUACAUUUGCCUUUUGAUGCAGAUAUUCUAUUUCUGAGACUCUAUCCCACAGAUACACUUGUACAUAUGCUUCGCAAAUAUUUGGCAUUGUUUCCAAUAGUAAAAAAUAGAAAACAACACAAAUGUCCACCAACAGAGAACUGGUUUAAUAAACUAUAUCCACACAGUGGAAUGGUAUGCAGCUGUAAUAAAAAGUAAGGAAAAUUUCCUUGUUGAAAUGGAAAUACCUCCAAGAUAUAUUAUUAAAUGAAAAAUGCAAGGUGAAGAACAAUGUGUAUAUGUGUAUAUAAAUAUAUAUUUUAUAGAAAUAUAUAUAUAAUGAAUUUUAUGUAAGAAGGAGAAUGAGAAUAUAUAUCCAUAUUUGCUUAUAUUUGCAUAAUGUCACACUGGAAGGAUAAACAAGGGACUAAUAAAAUAAUUGUCUGGGAGGACAGGAGUGAGAGUGAGGAUUUCCUGUACUUUUUUUCUUUUCGUAUUCUUAAUGUAGUUUUUUUUUAAUUAAUUAAUUAAUUUAUUUAUUUUUGGCUGCAUUGGGUCUUCGUUGCUGCAUGUGGGCUUUCUCUAGUUGCGACGAGCGGAGGCUACUCUCCAUUGCGGUGCGCAGGCUUCUUAUUGUGAUGGCUUCUCUUGUUGCAGAGCACGGGCUCUAGGUGCACAGGCUUCAGUAGUUGUGGCAUGCGGGCUCAGUAGUUGUGGCACGCGGGCUCAGUAGUUGUGGCACAUGUGCUUAGUUGUUCCUCAGCAUGUGGGAUCUUCCCAGACCAGGGCUUGAACCCAUGUUCCCUGCAUUGACAGGUGGAUUCUUAACCACUGUGCAACCAGGGAAGCCCCUUAAUGUAGUUUUGAUUUGAACAUUCUACCUAUUUUUAAAAUAACGCUGAAUGAGAUCCAAUGUCAUUUUGGCAUUUAUUGAUAUUAUAAUAUUGGU